GACGAACGCUGGCGGCGUGCCUAAUACAUGCAAGUUGAGCGAUGAAGAUUGGUGCUUGCACCAAUUUGAAGAGCAGCGAACGGGUGAGUAACGCGUGGGGAAUCUGCCUUUGAGCGGGGGACAACAUUUGGAAACGAAUGCUAAUACCGCAUAACAACUUUAAACAUAAGUUUUAAGUUUGAAAGAUGCAAUUGCAUCACUCAAAGAUGAUCCCGCGUUGUAUUAGCUAGUUGGUGAGGUAAAGGCUCACCAAGGCGAUGAUACAUAGCCGACCUGAGAGGGUGAUCGGCCACAUUGGGACUGGGACCCGGCCCCAACUCCUACGGGAGGCAGCAGUAGGGAAUCUUCGGCAAUGGACGAAAGUCUGACCGAGCAACGCCGCGUGAGUGAAGAAGGGUUUCGGAUCGUAAAACUCUGUUGGUAGAGAAGAACGUUGGUGAGAGUGGAAAGCUCAUCAAGUGACGGUAACUACCCAGAAAGGGACGGCUAACUACGUG
rnacentral:rRNA from 1 species